rnacentral:lncRNA from 1 species
CAGCAUGCCCCGUGGGCGAGCCUGGACGCAGGCGGAGGUCAGCAGCCUCCUGGCGCUGGUGGGAGGCUCAGGGGAGGCCGCCCUGCUGAUGGCCUCCACGUCGCGGCCCAACGAGGCGCUGUGGCAGGAGAUCUCCCAGGGGCUGGCGGCGGCCGGCUACGGCCGCAGCGUGGCCCAGUGCCGCUCCAAGUGGAAGGCGCUGAAGCAGGCUUUCCACUCGGAGCGGGAGACGCGCCGCCGUGCCGGGCGGCACUCACCGCGCCUGCCCCCGCACUACCGCGCCAUGAAGAGUAUCUGGAAGGCAGCCGGGCGGCCCGUUUUCGGAGAGCGGCGGCUGCCCGAGCUGGUGAAGCCGCCCCCCCGGAGGCGCAGGUCGCUGGCCGCACGCUCGCCGACCUCGCCGGCACCGCCAGCUGCUGCAGAGACCCCCGCUGUGCUGCUGGCACCGCUGCUGCAGCACCCAAAGGACGAGCCGGAGAGCCCCCGCGGGGACCGCGUCGCUGGAGCAUCGCCCGACCCCGCGGCCGCCCCACGUACCAGCUGCUGCAUCCCUCCCCAUCCCCUCCUGGGCUGCCACGGCGCCCUGAAAGAGGAGAGCGCCGAGCUGAAGGCAGGUUUUCCUGGUGAGACGUCCCCGGGGAUGGGAAGAGGAAACCGAGCGCUGCCGGCGGCCACCGCAGCCCCCGGCUCCCCCGGGACGGCCGCUGCGAGCGAGCAGGCGGUGGG